rnacentral:misc_RNA from 1 species
AAAAAAAAAAAAAAUAUAUAUUUUCUGUUAAAUUAACCAAUAGUAAGGUUUUUUUUUUUUUUUGAGUUUUCUGUGAUUUAUUUAGUAAAAUUCAAUAGAAAAUUGUAUUAUGUACCUUGGAAGUUUUUGACGUGAAAAACUCGACCUACAACUACAAUCACAAACAAAACUUUGAAUUGCAAGGGAAAAUUUUUCCUCAAGUAAACCAAGCAGUAUUCGAGCAUAUGAACUAAAUGGGAAGUGAAAAUAGUCUCUGUAAUUAGGAUAACUUGCUAAGCAGUAAACAUGUAUAAAUUUCCAACUUAACAGGACGAAAUACCCACCAAAUCAGUGAUGGAUAUGAAAAGGAUUUACAUCACCUGAAACAUGACAAUCUCUGCGGCUUGGGUUUCUUUUGUUUUUUCUUUUUAUUCUCUUUCAUAAGAACCUUAACCCUCUCUGCAGAAGAAGGGAACAUCCAUCCUCUGUUGCAUCACCAGGAAGCCUUGAUUAGCUUUCCACCAUUGGCUCAGGUCCAGAACUCUCUGUGCACAACCUACUAGAUCGACGUAUGGAAUUGAAAAGGAUGUCCUUAAUAACCUGUGACAUUAGACCAUGGACCUGUUCCACAGUUAUUUUAGCACUAUCACGAGUAAUUUUAGCUAGUUGAGAUUCUUCCUCUUUCUUUCUUUGAGGUGGUGCUAUUAGUAGCCCAAAACGGGAGUGAGCCAAUUGAUUCUCAGCCUGCUCCAGCUUGUCAGCUAAAUCUGAAAUCUGUCCGGCAACAUAGUCUCCAUUACCCAGGAGAGGUGAAGAAGAUAGAGUAUUCACCCAAUAUUUGUUCCACAACAGGCCCAAGAGGUGACAAUCAAGAGAGGACUUGAAAUAAGUGAUAUCCAAAGCAUAAUACUGCUUGCAAUGUACACCAAAGUCUUCAAUCUUAUUAAGAGGAAUGGUCUGAUAUUCAGAGACAGGAUCAUCUGGAGGCUUAUAUCCUUCUGGGUAUGUCCUGAAUGCCCCAAUCUCAACUUUACCAGCUGAUACAGUCCUCGUUGGAUCAAUAACAACUGCCAAAAAAGGUUCUUGAAAUUGCUGGUUGAGCAUUUGAGUUGAAACAUCAAUACCCGAGAGCCAGCAUCCAUACCCAGGAUGAGAAUGAUACCACCCAACAACAUUCUCCAACCGACCCGCCUGCUUGUUAGUCUGGGAGUAAUCGACCAUAUACUCAUAGGCAUCUGCCUGGGCAUUAACCCUAGUCUCGGUUCCUUCAACAGGCAAGGCAAAUGCAUCCAUUACAAUGAUGGCGUCACCAUCAGUCUUUCCUUGCAUGAGUCCCAUGACCUCAAUGGUACCACCGGAUCGCGCGUGCACCACCAUCUUGAGAAGCGCGAGUGCAGAGAUCUUGACACGCCUAAAGUAAUGGGGAUCGUUAACCCACGGCCUGUCCUGCUGGAACUUAGCUUGCGCCGUCUCAUCGUAGUAGAAAAUGGCGUCUGACGAGGCGUCCGCCGUCGAAUUGGUGGAGGUUGGGGGCGUGUCCACGGUGAUUACAUUGUUCUCGAGUUCCCAGGUUUUCUGGGCUAUUGUAGCUGAGGACGAAGGGUACGGAUCCAUCUCUCUGCUUCCUAUUCACUGACGUCUCCAAACUAUGGAGAGAGUACAGGAUGGUUACAUUGGGCGUUUUCAGUUCUAUCGUGCAUAAUUAUUAAACCCAGUGAAAAUAUUGAGUCGAC